CAUUAGGUUGGUGCAAAAGUCUUUGUGGUUUUUGCCAUUGCUUUUAAUGGCAAAAACCUCAAUGACUUUUGCACCAACCUAAUG
rfam:Papio anubis isolate 1X1155 chromosome 2, whole genome shotgun sequence.